UUGGAGAGUUUGAUCCUGGCUCAGGAUGAACGCUAGCGGCAGGCUUAACACAUGCAAGUCGAGGGGUAUUGGUUUUCGGACCAAGAGACCGGCGCACGGGUGCGUAACGCGUAUGCAAUCUACCUUUCACAGAGGGAUAGCCCAGAGAAAUUUGGAUUAAUACCUCAUAGUAUAUAGAGUUGGCAUCAACAUUAUAUUAAAGUCACAACGGUGAAAGAUGAGCAUGCGUCCCAUUAGCUUGUUGGUAAGGUAACGGCUUACCAAGGCAACGAUGGGUAGGGGUCCUGAGAGGGAGAUCCCCCACACUGGUACUGAGACACGGACCAGACUCCUACGGGAGGCAGCAGUGAGGAAUAUUGGACAAUGGGCGCAAGCCUGAUCCAGCCAUGCCGCGUGCAGGAUGACGGUCCUAUGGAUUGUAAACUGCUUUUAUACAGGAAGAAACACUGGUUCGUGAACCAGCUUGACGGUACUGUAA
rnacentral:rRNA from 1 species